CCUACGGGAGGCAGCAGUGGGGAAUAUUGGACAAUGGGGGGAACCCUGAUCCAGCGACGCCGCGUGAGUGAAGAAGUAUUUCGGUAUGUAAAGCCCUAUCAGCAGGGAAGAAAAUGACGGUACCUGACUAAGAAGCCCCGGCUAACUACGUGCCAGCAGCCGCGGUAAAACGUCGGGGGCAAGCGUUAUCCGGAUUUAAGGGGUGUAAAGGGAGCGUAGACGGUGCAGCAAGUCUGAGGUGAAAGGGCGGGGGGCAACCCCGGGACUGCAUUGGAAACUGUUGAACUGGAGUACGGGAGAGGUAAGCGGAAUUCGGAGUGUAGCGGGGAAAUGCGUAGAUAUUAGGAAGAA
rnacentral:rRNA from 1 species